rnacentral:rRNA from 1 species
UGCUCCCUACGGGGCGCAGCAGUGAGGAAUAUUGGUCAAUGGCCGAGAGGCUGAACCAGCCAAGUCGCGUGAGGGAUGACGGCCCUACGGGUUGUAAACCUCUUUUGUCGGGGAGCAAGACCCGCCUCGUGCAGGCGGAGCGAGAGUACCCGAAGAAAAAGCAUCGGCUAACUCCGUGCCAGCAGCCGCGGUAAUACGGAGGAUGCGAGCGUUCUCCGGAUUUAUUGGGUUUAAAGGAUGCGCAGG